UACGUAGGGGGCUAGCGUUGUCCGGAUUUAUUGGGCGUAAAGAGCGUGUAGGCGGCCAGGUAGGUCUGGUGUGAAAACUCGAGGCUUAACCUCGAGAUGUCAUCGGAAACCAUCUGGCUAGAGUCCGGAAGAGGAGAGUGGAAUUCCUGGUGUAGCGGUGAAAUGCGCAGAUAUCAGGAAGAACACCCGUGGCUAAGGCGGUUCUCUAGUACGGUACUGACGCUGAGACGCGAAAGCGUGGGGAGCGAACAGG
rnacentral:rRNA from 1 species